rnacentral:rRNA from 1 species
UACGGAGGGUGCAAGCGUUAUCCGGAUUCACUGGGUUUAAAGGGUGCGUAGGUGGAAUGGUAAGUCAGUGGUGAAAUCUCCAAGCUUAACUUGGAACUGCCGUUGAUACUAUCAUUCUUGAAUAUCGUGGAGGUAAGCGGAAUAUGUCAUGUAGCGGUGAAAUGCUUAGAUAUGACAUAGAACACCGAUUGCGAAGGUCAGCUUGCUACACGAUCAUUGACACUGAGGCACGAAGCGUGGGGAUCAAACAGG